rnacentral:lncRNA from 1 species
AGUUUGCAGGCUGGCAAACAGGCUGGGAAAGCCCUUGAGAGACUCAGACAGCUCAUGCCAUACUUCAGACUUCAUAGACCUGGGAGACAUCCAGCUUUCUCCCCCAGAGAAGCCGCAGCCUGGUCCCUUCCCCUGCCACACCAUCUGGUCCACAGAAACACCAGACUUCCGUGUCUCUCGGCCCUAUAAAAAGCAACAUUCCUUUUCCUGUCUUCUCUCCACCCGUCCCUCCCACCCACCCGUCUCUUCUCUCUCCUUGCCUUUGGUCUUUCUGUCUUAUCCCUUCUCCCCUGCCAAUCACUCCCUUUCUUCUCAACACUCCUCCUCCAUCUCCCCUCUGUGCACCUGCAGUGCUAUUCUUUGUCUAACCAUGAAAACAUCCCCGAAGGGCUUCUAGAACAUUCGUAUGUCUGGAGGAGUUAGAGUCCUCCAGCGCUGGGGUUGGCAAUUCUGCCUCCUUAGCGUCCAGGAUAGACGGAGCAUUUAUUUCGAGGCUUUGUGCGCCCUCUUGUGGUUUCUCCGUCAUGCCAACUCCCGCAGACAAUGGCUGCUUUGUCCAGGAGAGAUGAUGAUUUAUAUGACAACCUGGCUUAAACCUCAGAAACCUUCAAUUUCUCCUUCUUCAAACAGUUUUUAUUAGAAGGAUGGUUGUGAAAAAUGAAGUCCUUAUGCACAAAGCCACCGCGUUUCACUGCGAUGUUCACCUGGCCUAUGAAGAUCUCCGGACACAAAACCAAGCAACAAAAUCAGGAUGCAACAAGAUGGAGGGGCAAAGCACAGAAGAGGAGUGGACCCUGCCAUAGGAUGGUGACGAGUCCAAUCUUGUGCACGUCUUGUACACAGAAGAGCAGCAGCUGCAAGCUCAGGAACAAAACGGCCACAUCAUGCACAGAAGACAGGGCCCCAUGAUAGAUACUCCAUUUCUUCCUCAGACAUCCACUCUGAGAAAACAGUUGAGUUUCACUGGCCAUGAGAACCAUCUGGAUUCCGGUGAUAACUGGAUCCUCCUGUUCCCAAGGCUACCCAUCAAUGUCUGUGUGCCAGAUGUUGCUGGGGCUGCUCAGUCCUGCAAAGCUCUGUCGCCAGCCUUCUAGUAGAAGAAAUGUGCAAGCUGGAAGUGUCUCUUAGUCUCUUCACUGAUAGCCAAUGGAAUGUCCAUUUGAGCCAAUUUGGGGGAGAGUUUUUUAGCAGAAAUGAGGUGAACACUAAACGGCAAAAUGGAUCACCUUCCCGAGGCAGCUGCCACCACACUAUGAUGGAUCAGCCCCAUGAAAGGACACUCAGUUAUUAUUCCCUCUCACUCCGUAAACAGGAUAUAUUCAAAGUCAGCAGAUCAGUAAGAUAUUCCAGACAGAGCAUCCGUAGCAAAGAGUUAAGAUCUAAAUGCAACAAUUCAAAAGCCAGGAGAGAGACCCAGAAGCACAUGAUAGCUUUAUUAUUCUAAAUUGCCCAUUUUAGCACAGAUUCUAAAAUUGAAAUAGAGCAAAUUCUGCCUC